CGGGUGAGUAACGCGUGAGGAACCUGCCUCAAAGAGGGGGACAACAGUUGGAAACGACUGCUAAUACCGCAUAAGCCCACGGGUCGGCAUCGAUCUGAGGGAAAAGGAGUGAUCCGCUUUGAGAUGGCCUCGCGUCCGAUUAGCUAGUUGGUGAGGUAAUGGCCCACCAAGGCGACGAUCGGUAGCCGGACUGAGAGGUUGAACGGCCACAUUGGGACUGAGACACGGCCCAG
rnacentral:rRNA from 1 species